rnacentral:rRNA from 1 species
GUCGAGGAUCUUUUGCAAUGGGCGCAAGCCUGACAAAGCGACGCUGCGUGGAGGAUGAAGGCCUUCGGGUCGUAAACUCCUGUCAUUCGGGAACAAUAGCGCGGGAGCUAAUAUCUCCAGCGAUUGAUGGUACCGGAAGAGGAAGCCACGGCUAACUCUGUGCCAGCAGCCGCGGUAAUACAGAGGUGGCGAGCGUUGUUCGGAUUUACUGGGCGUAAAGGGUGCGUAGGUGGUCUUGUGUGUCGGGUGUGAAAUCCCACGGCCUAACCGUGGAACGGCGCCCGAAACUGCGAGGCUAGAGUGCAGGAGAGGAGAGUGGAAUUCUUGGUGUAGCGGUGAAAUGCGUUGAUAUCAAGAGGAACACCGGCGGCGAAGGCGGCUCUCUAGAAUGCAACUGACACUGAGGCACGAAAGCUGGGGGAGCAAACAGGAUUAGAAACCCGAGUAGUCC